UUAAAUUGAAGAGUUUGAUCAUGGCUCAGAUUGAACGCUGGCGGCAGGCCUAACACAUGCAAGUCGAACGGUAACAGGAAGCAGCUUGCUGCUUCGCUGACGAGUGGCGGACGGGUGAGUAAUGUCUGGGAAACUGCCUGAUGGAGGGGGAUAACUACUG
rnacentral:rRNA from 3 species